CAUGGCCCAUACUUUUCAACUCUCUCUGUCCACCUGCAGCCGACUCCACUUUAUGUACUGAUUCCACAAAUGUGGAGCCCCUGACCUCAGGCUGGUUACAGCCCAAUGAAGAAACACAGCAACAGCCUUACAACACAACACAAGCCAUGGAGAGAGGCCCUGUAAGGCUCCCAAGCUCAAAACUCAUAGCCCAAGCUUUGACCAAGAGGUGAAAUUUAUUCUUGCCAUUAACCAAAUGUUAUGGGAACAGCCAGAACAACCUGAAUAGCAGGAGGCGGAGAAGAUCCUAGCACUUCCCUAAACCAUCCAUUUGUGAGCAAUUUCAAAUAAUGACCAAUUUUCCUGGGGAGAGGGGUAAAUGAGAAGAAAAACCAAGUCCAAAGGUCUUAAUUCUGAGGGGAUGAAGAGGCUUGGCCUGUGUGGACAGAUAGUGUGCUUUCAUGGAAAGGCAAGACUUUUCUUUGAGAUAUACAGGAUUGGAAGCAGGGAAGAGGCUAAAGAUGUAGGCUGGGGAGGAGUGGAGUGGGAAGCAAUUCUCUGUCCUCCCUAUAGGCCUUCCUUUGUGGAAAAGAUCACUUAUAGAGAUUGGAAUGGCUACAGGAAAUAGAGACUGGGAUUCUGUUGAAAAACUGGACAGGGAUGGCGACUGUCCUUUGUCUCUGAGCUAGAGGUGGCAGUGGAACAGCCUGUAUCCCUGAGACUUGGAUGCCAAGGUUCCAGGGGGACCUGAACGUCAAGUGGACACAGCAGGAGCAGCAUUUGUGCCACAUUGUCUCCCCAGUGCCAUGUCUAAGCGGGUGCCCACCAGAUGAGAGAACCCUGCAGGGGGCUAUAGGGAUCGUAUUAUGAAAACUGUGUUGGAUCCAACUGUGUUGGAUCAACAGCCAGGAUGAGUUUGCUUCACACUCACAGCAGUUUCCCGGGUAGAAGAAAUUUGAUGCCAAUUCUGCACACCCAAAUUCCUGGCAGAUUAAUCAGCAAGUAGUACAGAGAGCUGCUUUCUUUAAAAAGCUUCAUUUAUCACUCAAACUGUGAAUGCUGAGAUGCCAAGGCACGGUGGAGAAAUGAUCCUUUAGAGGUAAAGUUUGAAUGAUCUGGUAUAUGUAUCAGUACUCUUUCCAUGCAUUCCAAAUCUUGUAUAUAAUGCAGAUUAGAAUGGCAGCUUUUUCUACAGUUAUAUUGGCAACAAACACUGAUUAGCUAUUAAGUAUGGCAAAACAUUUAUUUCAGGCUUCUAUUAUUAGCACCACCUCUUGACUCACAGAGAAAAUUCUUCCCAAAGUUUUGGUUAAUGUGACAGUUUUAUUUGUUAAGACACAAUUUUCCUUUAUCAUCAUUCUCCCACACAGAACCGACCCUCCAUUUCCAAGAUGCCUCCAGACCAAGGAGUUCCCAGUCUGUUCUCACCAUUCCAGUUGGCCCCAGGUCAGCCUGUCUCUAGGGCUUCCAUCCACAAUACAGUCCCAGGAUAGUGCUUCCCAUUACAUUAUAUUCAUGCUAACUAAACUGGCUAGGCAAUGCCCUGGACUUCUAAAGGAGUUCCUCACAGGAUUGAGUUGUCUUUGCCCUGUCCAGGGAGGAACCCCUCUCAUAUGCACAGAAUUCUCGCAAUACUAACGUGUGUUCUUCCCUUUAACAGUAGAACUCCUCAGUUAAGGCUGAAUUCAUGGCCACUGCAUUAAGUUUAUGCUGCAUUUAUGCUGCAUAACAAGCACCCCCAAAAUCUCAGUGGCCUCCCCCCAAAAAAGCCAUUUAUUUUUCUUGCAGUUCAGCAGAGACAGCUCUCCAUCAGUCCAUGGACAGAUUUAGGAUUGGCUUCACUUGUCUCAUCCUCUGAACCAAUAGCUUCCUGGGGCAGGCUCUUCUCAUGCAGGGCGACAGCCAUGCUAGUGGGGUGAGGAGAAACACAAGAGGCCACUUAUGGCCUUGGCUCAGAACUGACACACUGUUACUUCUGCCCACAUUCCCCUGGGCAUCAUUAGGGUAUGGAAGUACUCUAUACCAUGAGGAACCUUGCCAAGCGCUGGGAGGGGAAGAUCAAUGGCAAGCAGAUAGUACAAUCAAUCUCAGCCUCCCUUAUAACUUGGUGUGUCCUUGCAACUAAAUUCUGGCCAAAGGGAUGUGAGGGAAAGCAAUGUGUGCAACUUCCAGGCCUUGUACUUGUAAGGACUGGACACACCCUAACUUUUCCCUGCCCAUCAGCUGAGCACAUGGUGGGGCUGCAGCAAUCACCUGGUCCAGAGGUAGACGGCACAGCUGUCCCUCCAAUCCUAGCUCUGGACUGUUAUAUGUAUGUCAUUUACAUUGGUGGAUUUUUGCAUUGCUGUUAUGGCUUCUGAGCACCCUGGCUAGUACAGCAUCUAUUCAUUCACUCAGUGAGUAUCUACUGAGUGUCUUCUUUGUGACAGGCAUUGCUCUAGGCCUGAGAGGAAGUAUUAGUGAGCAGUCUGCAUCUUGACUGUGGUGAUGUUCACACAAAACCUUCACCUGUGAUAAAAUUGCAUAGAACUAAAUAACACACAUACAUGAGUACGAGUAAAACUGAGGAAAUCUGUACAAGAUCUUUGGCUUGCACCAAUAUUGACAUACUAGUUGUGAUAUUAUAUUACAGUUUUGCAAAGAAACUAGGUAAAGGAUCUCUGUAUUCUUUUAUUUUAUGUUUGUUUAUUUUGAGAGAGAG